rnacentral:snRNA from 1 species
GGAUGUGAGGGCAAUCCAGUUCCGACAUCUGUCACCUCGUUUAUCGCCAGGGUUGAUUCAGCUGAUCUGGCUGGUUAGGCGGGAGUCUCCUUCCCCCCUCAUUGCUCCAUGUGUGUCCCUCUCGAAGCUGCAUGCAUGGCCAAAUAAGAUGAGCAUCCCUGAUAGAAGAGGGCCGGUCUUUGGUCAAGGGUAUCACGAGUAGCUGCACUCCCCUGCUAGAACCUCCAAAAAGGCAAAUAUUGUUAUUUUUAAUGGGGACCCAGUAGAAUUUAGUGUUCUCUCCAUCACUCAGCUCCAAUGACUAGAAGUAUAACCUCUAUACUUACAUU